rnacentral:rRNA from 1 species
CCUACGGGUGGCAGCAGUGGGGAAUAUUGCACAAUGGGGGAAACCCUGAUGCAGCGACGCCGCGUGAGUGAAGAAGUAAUUCGUUACGUAAAGCUCUAUCAGCAGGGAAGAAACACUGACCUUACGGUCAGCAGACGGUACCUGAGUAAGAAGCCCCGGCUAACUACGUGCCAGCAGCCGCGGUAAUACUUAGGGGGCAAGCGUUAUCCGGAUUUACUGGGUGGAAAGGGAGCGUAGACGGUGGGCCAAGUCUGGAGUGAAAUGCCGCAGCUUAACUGCGGAACUGCUUUGGAAACUGGCGAACUAGAGUGCGGGAGGGGUAAGCGGAAUGCCUAGUGUAGCGGUGAAAUGCGUAGAUAGUAGGAGGAACACCGGUGGCGAAGGCGGCUUACUGGACCGUAACUGACGUUGAGGCUCGAAAGCGUGGGGAGCAAACAGGAUUAGAUACCCCAGUAGUC